rnacentral:lncRNA from 1 species
AAUUAAUGUAUUUAAGUCAUUAUUUAUUUCUUAAAUAAUUAAAUAAUUAAAUAAAUUAUUAUUCAUAAUUAAAUAGAUAAUUAAAUAAUUGAUUAUUUAUGAUUUUAUGCAAAAUCUAAUAUUUAUGUUUAUUAACUAAUUAAUAUUUUGAGCAUUUUAAUUAUUUUAUUAACUAAUUAUCUAACUAUUAGAUAAUUAACUAAUUAAUUUAUUAAUUUACCGAAUCACUUGUAGUUAUAAAAUAACAAGUGAUUUAAUUUAUCAAGUCACUUGUGGUAUAAAAAGGGGAAUAAGCCCUUAUUCCCCACCUUUAUACCCAUACACUAUUUUGGAAAAGAGGAACAAGGGCUUUUUUGCAUUUAGCCCCUUUUGAAUUUUUUUUCAUAAAUAGUCCUACAAAAUUUAUAUUUGCAAGAUUGACCCUAUCCCCGCUACGCAAAUACCACACGAACGCCACGUGAGCAUAGUGAUAGAUUAAGUUGAACACGGUGAAUCAUUCAUCGUGUUUGGAUAUGUGAUAUGUCCUUCUUAAACCUUAAACCCCAAAUAUUACGUAAUAUCGUGGUAGAAAAAUAAUGGAAUACGGUGAACUAUUCACCGUGUUCAAACACGAUAAAUAGUUCACCGUAUUCAACUUAACCUACGGCACCAUCCAUACUCGUAUGGCGCUUACGUGGUGGGGAUAGGGCCAAUCUUGCAAAUAUAAAUUGUGUGGGGCUAUUUGUAGAAAUUUUUUUGAGGGGGCUAAAUGCAAAAAAAGCCCGAGGAAUAAUAGUUUCCCUGUUUGGAGAAUAAAAGCCUGAAACUGUUGUACCACCCUCCAUCUGGAGCAAGCUUGUUCCUAAGUGGGAACAUGCUUAAUUAAAGUCUAAAUUUAAUUUCACUUAUAGUAUUAAAUUAUUAAUUAAUCUAAUUAAUGCAUUUAAGUCAUUAUUUAUGUCACGCCCCGGGGUCCCUUUGUAUUUAAGAUCCAAUGCGAAAGUGUGCCCAAUUUUUUUUUUUUUUUUUUAAAAACUUUGACCCCAAAGUAUGUCAGAUCCGCCACAAAUACAGAAAAUCCACUGUUCACACGGACAGAGUCUUUCCUAUAUUUGCACGGCGUCGCACAAGUACAAUAUAUAACCACAAUCGUAUGAGCAUACACAUACAUUCACCAUUCACAUUUACAUUCAUUUCGUUACGAAUAUCCAUAAAUACACAUCUUUCAGUUUAAAAUGUUUUCCAUCCGGAAACUCAUUUUGAAGCACUAAGAGUCAUGAAAACAAACAAAACCAUUCUUUAAAACACGCUACCACGAGGGAUAGAAAACCGUUUUCAUCUAAAAAAAAACCAUAAGUUCUAUAAUUCAUUUACCAAAGUCAC